rnacentral:rRNA from 1 species
UACAGAGGUCUCGAGCGUUGUUCGGAUUCAUUGGGCGUAAAGGGCGCGUAGGCGGCGGGGUAAGUCUGGUGUGAAAUCUCGGAGCUCAACUCCGAAAUUGCACUGGAUACUGCUCUGCUAGAGGGCUGGAGAGGAGAUCGGAAUUCACGGUGUAGCAGUGAAAUGCGUAGAUAUCGUGAGGAAGACCAGUGGCGAAGGCGGAUCUCUGGACAGCUCCUGACGCUGAGGCGCGAAGGCGUGGGGAGCGAACAGG